rnacentral:rRNA from 1 species
AACAGCUAGAGUUUGACUCCGUGGCUCAGGACGAACGCUGGCGGCACGCUUAACACAUGCAAGUCGAACGGAGAUAUUUUGGUUUACUGAGGUAUCUUAGUGGCGGACGGGUGAGUAACACGUGAGCAACCUGCCUCUGAGAGGGGGAUAGCUUCUGGAAACGGAUGGUAAUACCCUAUGACAUAACGAAGCCGCAUGACUUUGUUAUCAAAGAUUUAUCACUCAGAGAUGGGCUCGCGUCUGAUUAGCUAGUUGGUGAGGUAACGGCCCACCAAGGCGACGAUCAGUAGCCGGACUGAGAGGUUGAACGGCCACAUUGGGACUGAGACACGGCCCAGACUCCUACGGGAGGCAGCAGUGGGGAAUAUUGCACAAUGGGGGAAACCCUGAUGCAGCGAUGCCGCGUGGAGGAAGAAGGUUUUCGGAUUGUAAACUCCUGUCUUAAAGGACGAUAAUGACGGUACUUUAGGAGGAAGCUCCGGCUAACUACGUGCC